rnacentral:tRNA from 2 species
GUAGACGCUACGGACUUAAAAUCCGUCGACUUUAAAAAUCGUGAGGGUUCAAGUCCCUCUAUCCCCA